rnacentral:rRNA from 1 species
UACGUAGGUGGCAAGCGUUAUCCGGAAUUACUGGGUGUAAAGGGUGAGUAGGCGGGAAGGCAAGUCAGAUGUGAAAUGCAGGGGCCCAACCCCUGAACUGCAUUUGAAACUGUUUUUCUUGAGAGUCGGAGGGGUAAUCGGAAUUCCCAGUGUAGCGGUGAAAUGCGCAGAGAUUGGGAGGAACACCAGUGGCGAAGGCGGAUUACUGGACGACAACUGACGCUGAUACACGAAAGCGUGGGGAG